rnacentral:rRNA from 1 species
UACGUAGGGGGCAAGCGUUGUCCGGAAUCAUUGGGCGUAAAGCGCGCGUAGGCGGCCAGAUAAGUCCGGUGUGAAAGUCACAGGCUCAACCUGUGAAUGCCGCUGGAAACUGUCUGGCUAGAGUCCGGAAGAGGAGAAUGGAAUUCCUGGUGUAGCGGUGAAAUGCGCAGAUAUCAGGAAGAACACCCGUGGCGAAGGCGGUUCUCUGGGACGGUACUGACGCUGAGACGCGAAAGCGUGGGGAGCGAACAGG